CUGGAAGUUCAGAGGUGUAGGAAGGAAUAUCAGCGGUGAGGGAUGCAACGCUGGAGCUGCUGCGUGACCAACUGAUAUCCUCCGACAUCUGGUGGAUCCAGGAAGAGCAGCGGGUGUCACAGAUGCCACUGCCGCCCCUGUGUAACCACCCUCGGCCCACCCCAUGUUCCAUAUCUCCCUCACCCAGACGUGU